CCCCGCGGGCUCCGCCCCCUCCCCCCUCGCGCUGAAACGCGCCGCGGGCGAAAGCGCGGGAAAGUCGUUCUGACCCGAAAUUCGCCUAAAUUCGAAUAAAAACGGGGCGGAGUUAUUAAUAAUAAUACUGACGAAACGCCGCUGGAGUAAAACACCGCGGAAACACCGCCGGAGUGACACACUGCUGUUGGUGGUGGCGAUUCCAGCCCUCCAACGCGUCUGCGGCCGCCCCCGGCCCUGCUGACAACAAACGCCCUGAAAUUUAAACGCUGGGUUUUUUUAAUGUUUGCCAACAUUUCUGCUCCCGAGCGAGUGUGGAUUAAGCAGUUCUCCAAACACCGGUGUCCCAGCAGCAGAUGGAGAUGCACAGCCCAUUGCCCUGCUCUGGCUGAACUCCCUAAGAAAUAAAAAAAAAACCAAGGAGAGGAAGCGAGUGGGAGCUUUCAGGAAAGGCUUUAAAACCGGCUGUUUGCACUCAUUUUGAUUUACUUUAAUUUUAUCUGGCUCUGCUCUACAUUAAAACAGUGAUAAUCAGUUUAACUUCCAUCAGAUUGAACAGACACAGGCUGGAAGUGGACAAACACUUCCAAAAAACCUUGCUGGCGGCAAAGUAUUUUUUCCUUCCACAUAACACAGACCCAAGGUGAACUUUAUGGGACCAGCAGGACAAUGAGCUGCAGUGCAGGGAGCAGCUGCACUUCCAUUCCCGGCCACAAACCCCGGCG